rnacentral:lncRNA from 1 species
GAGACAGUAGUUAGGGCAUGGCUAAAACCGGCUGGAGAAGGAGGCGUGACAAGACCCCAGCACACAUGCGCAGAGCAGCUCUCGGAACUCUGCAUGUAGAUUCUCGGGAGAACUCCCGCAGAUUUUUGGUAAGAUGACCACCUCGAUGUGACUCCGACGUGGGGAAUAUGAAAAAGAGACGGUUGCUGUUAAGCGCUUACUGCCUGCCUCCUCACGGAAAAACUGCAGUUUCAGAACUUGAGCCCAGUUUAAAUUUUAUUUUUCUAUCUCCUUCAAGACCAAUACACUUGGGCAAUUCUCUGUCAGGAGUGAACUGGCCUUUUCACCUGUGA